CAAAGGCCAGCCGAGGGAGAUCGUGUCAGCCAUCUCGCGUAGCCACGAAAACACGACAGUCGUUCGUCAUGCCUUGGAUAUAACAACAAAUCCUCCACGGCACCCGCUUUAUAUAACGCAAGAAGGCAGCUGCAAGGACACGAGGAUGUGAAAGAGCCAGUGCAGCGCGACUUCACGUAGUGCAGAGGAGCCAAUGCCAAAAAAUCAAAAUACAUUGGCAUGUUAUUUGGACAAGAAAACUAGGACAACCCAGGACGUGCAUUUCUCAGCACCCAGUCAACUGCCAAAAGUGACUCAAACACAG